rnacentral:pre_miRNA from 1 species
CAACUACUCCCUCUGUCCCAAAUUUGUUUUCUUAGAUUUGUCUAGAUACGGAUGUAUCUAAUACAAAAAUGUGACUUGAUACAUCCGUAUUUAGACAAAUCUAAGACAAGAAUUUUGAGACGGAGUGAGUACUUU